rnacentral:rRNA from 1 species
UACGUAGGGUGCAAGCGUUGUCCGGAAUUAUUGGGCGUAAAGAGCUCGUAGGCGGUCUGUCGCGUCUGCUGUGAAAACUCAGGGCUUAACCCUGAGCUUGCAGUGGGUACGGGCAGACUAGAGUGCGGUAGGGGAGACUGGAAUUCCGGGUGUAGUGGUGGAAUGCGUAGAUAUCAGGAGGAACACCGGCGGCGAAGGCGGCCCUCUGGAUCGUUGCUGACGCUGAGACGCGAAAGCGUGGGGAGCGAACAGG